UUAGAAAGCAUGAUCUUGUUUCUGCUUUGUGCAGGAGUACCUGUACGGACAGGAAACCUCAUCCCUCACCUACCAUGACUUUAUCAAUAAAGAGCUUGUGCUGUUCUCCAACUCUGACAACGAGAGAUCAAUCCCCUGCUUGGUGGAUGGUCUAAAACCAGGCCAAAGGAAAGUGCUCUUCUGCUGUUUUAAGAGGAAUGAUAAGAGAGAGGUGAAAGUGGCUCAGUUGGCUGGAUCAGUGGCUGAGAUGUCAGCAUACCACCAUGGAGAGGUCUCUCUGAUGAUGACCAUUGUGGGUCUCGCUCAGAACUUUGUGGGCAGUAAUAAUUUGAACCUGCUUCAGCCUCUGGG